AUUUCUAUUGGAGGGAUAAAAUAUGUUGAUAAUAGAAGGAAGAUCAAAAGCGAAGGCAAUUAUCUGGGUAUAUACUGACACUGAGAAACGAAAGCUUGGGUAGCGAACGGGAUUAGAGACCCCGGUAGUCCAUGCUGUAAACGAUGAGUGCUCAUAUUUAGAAUUUUUAGAUAUCAAGCUAACGCGUUAAGCACUCCGCCUGAAAAGUAUAAUCGCAAGAUUGAAAUUCAAAGGAAUUGACGGGAGUCUACACAAGCGGUGGAGCAUGUGGUUUAAUUCGAAGAUACGCGCAGAACCUUACCAACUCUUGCAAAUUAGAUUAAAAAAUUUAAUUUAAUCUAAACAGGCGUUGCAUGGCUGUCGUCAGCUCGUGUUGUGAAAUGUUUGGUUAAAUCCUUUAACGAGCGCAACCCCUAUUAAUAGUUGCUAAUUUAUUUAAGUAAAUAAAAGCACUCUAAUAAAAAUGUCAAUGAUAGGUUGAAGGAAGGUAGGGAUGACGUCAAGUCUUCAUGGCCCUUAUGAGUUGGGCUACACACGUGCUACAAUGAUAAUUACAAUGAGAGGCAAUAAUGAUUUAAAAUUGGAGCAAAUCUUUAAAAAUUAUCUUAGUUCGGAUUAUGGGCUGCAACUCGCCCAUAUGAAGCUGGAAUCGCUAGUAAUCGCAGAACAGCAUGCUGCGGUGAAUAUGUUACUAGACUUUGUACACACCGCCCGU
rnacentral:rRNA from 1 species